GAGCCCACAGCAGAUCGUUCUCCGCCGCCAACCUGCCCUCCGCACGCCAGAUCCACCCCGUCGCCCCCUCGGCGGCCGAUCCAUCCCUUGCCGCGGCCGAUCCAAUCCUUCGCCCUAUCGUGCGCUAGGGUUCCUUGAGUCGCCGCCGCUCCGGAGCUCCUCGCCCAGCCCCACCUCCUGCCGCUCCACCCACUGCUUCUCCCUCCGCUCGCUGCACUUGCCCUCUCCGCCGCGCCCGCUUCCCCGAUGGUCGCCCCCUUCCCCGUCGAUCUCGGAGAAUCGGCGCCCCGAACGACUCUCCAUGCCACGCCUCGGCUGUGGAAGGGUGUUUACUGUUGAGGGUGCGCUGCUGGGGAUGCGUGUGCACAUGGGAGUUGCCGCCGCUGGGGACGCGUGUGCACGCGGGAGCUACCGCCGCUGGGGACGUGGACGCACGCUGGAGCGGCCGCCAAUUCCGGUCCUUCAAUCGAUUCCGUCGCAGCCUCAUUCGUAUGUAUGCUUUGAUCUGUUUUCAUGUUGUGUUCUUGGGCCUCCGUGCUUGGUUCUUGGGCGUUGAAACUCUCUGCAGCCCCUCUCUAUGGAUGGGGAGGUUGGACCCAAACAGCUGCAGCAACGGAGAAAAAUGGGUGUCAACCACUUCAAUCUGUUGACAAAGUAUAAGACGGGUACACACUGAUUUUUUAUUUCCUGUUAACACCAAAUUAGUUGAUCUUGUUAAUUACCUAGGUUUUAAUGGCUGCAAAAGUUAUGACUAAUUCGAGAUUGUAAUCCAUGGCUUUUACUGCCCGUGUGUUGUCGAAGACACAAAUCUGGAACAUCGUAUAAAAAAGAGAGGACCAAACAAAUGAAACAAUGGAUUACAGAUUUCAGAAUUGGUUUAUACAAUCUCGUGUUUGUGGGAGCAUAGAUGGAACUAUAUGCCUUGACCAUGCAUGAGAUUCACACACAAAAUGAUGUUUAGCACAAUUUCCUAAUAGCACAGUUUUGCCCAAGUAUUAUAGCAUCACACUUAACGCAACCAAGUGAUGUCUGCAAUCGGAUCUGGAACAAAUAUAUGUGGCGAUUGGUAUAUAUGUGUUCUACUGAGCAAGGAAACUGAUUUUAGAAACAAGAAUUUCCAUGUUGUCAAUAUAUGUGGUCAGGCAAGGCAUCAUCAAAACAAGAUGAAAGUUAGUGCAUUCUUUAUCCUUAAUCAUACAUGGCGAUUGGUAUAUUUUCAUGCUGCUCCUAGCUAAAUGUGUAUUGUUCCUUUAGGUCAGCUAAACGUCAAUAUGUUGAAUGAUGUCGUGGAGAGGGCCACCGAGAGGGGGUCUGUCCGGCUGCCGCUGCCGCUGCCGCUGGAGAUGCAACACCAAAGUCGAAGGUGGUCAUCGCCGAGACCUGCCUGAACCUCCUGACCUUUCCCAACACUCAAAUAGGCAACACAUGUUGGAGGAGACCACCAGGCUAAUUGUAAGCAUCGGCUAUUUGUUAUGCAUGAGUGUUGCAGGAUGAUUUGGAUGAGUGGACCGAGGCCGACAUGAGCAGUUAACAUUUAUGCUUCGGCCGGGUUUCCCGACCAUCCACACCAGGGUAUCAAGACCGUCACCUACAUGCUCGAGGACCAUAGUGGACCAUUGCAAUGCGGCAAAUCAAAUUUCAAUAUUCAGCACUCUUCUGUGCGGAUCAGGUCAUGGGCUUGUUGGUGGAUGGAUGACGGCGCAAGGGAAGCUGCUCGCUGUACAAAACACACAAUAAGCAAAAUCAACCUACACAUACUUAUACAAUAGCAGGGGUAAAUCAAAAGGCACAUAUUUAUAGGAAAGCUCACUGUGAUGUUAAAUAAUC